UCCAUGGUGAUAGAGGCGGUGCGCCGGGGGGCCUGGAGGCUGCGCUGGGGCCUCCGCGGGAGGAGUCGCUGGGGCACGGGUUGGUCCCGGUUCCGCACGGUGUUUGACUGCUAACACAUGAGAUUCCAGUGCAGAAAGAGUAGUGGAUUUGAUUAUAGAGGACCCAAGAUUGGAGGAAAAAUGGAGAAAAAAUCCAGGGGCAGUUUAAGAUCUUUCAAGACAGAUGCAGCCCAGAAAUUGCAUACUCCCAAAGUCCAUGGAUUUGGACGAUCUGUUACUCCCUGGCUUGGUGGGAAUCAGCGUUGGAAUGGAAGUCAUCUGGUUCCAUAUCGGGUCACAUACACUUGGAACCGAGGUGGGAGGUUAAAAGAACUCCGUAUCAGGCAUCUGGCCAGGAAGUUCCUCUAUUUGUGGGUGAAAAAGACAUUUGGACAAGUUCUUCCUUCCAAAGCCAGAUGUCAUUAUAAUCGGAAGAUUCUGCAAAAAACCUUUGGCGAGUGGAAGGAGGAAUGGUGGAUUGUCUGCAGAGAGUGGAAGCUUAGCGUCAGAGCUGACUGCCAUUACAGAUAUUUCCUGUACAACCUGAUGUUCCAAGCCUGGAAGACAUUUAUAUGCCAGCAGCGAGAAAAGAGGAGCAAAUAUCAUGUCGCAGAGGCUCAUGCGGAGAAGCAGAAACUGCGCUGGACAUGGCAGCAUUGGCUGCUCUACACUGAUGUUCGUAGGACCAAGCAUAGGAUGCGAUCCGAGGCAUUGGUGUUCAGGGAAACAAGCUCUCUGCGCGUGUCGUGGAGAGUGUGGACAAGACGACUGUGCCAGAAGCGUACUGGCCGUGAGAUGAAUACUCUGGCUCUGCAGCACUGGGCCCAGAGCCUGCAGUUUCGGGCCUGGCUACAGUGGAUGGAGCUGUAUUUGCACAUCCAGCAUGACAAGCAGAAGGAGGCCUGGGCUGUGAAUCAUCAUCAGCACUGGGAGCUGAGGAGAUGCAUGAAGGCCUGGCUCAGGCACCUGCAGCUUCAAAGAGAAAAGAAGCAUCAGGACAAGCUGGCUCAGCAACAUCACCAAGUCUCUGUGCUCCAACACUGUUUCUGUGGCUGGCGACGGGCCUGGGAGCACAGGAGAAGCAUGCAAAUCCACCAGGAGUGCAUUGGUGAGUUAGCAGCAAGGAUUACCUUACGGAGAGUCUUCACACACUGGAAGCAUUAUGUUGUACUGUGCAUGGAAGAAACCUGGAAGCACAAGCUUGCAGAAAAGCAUCACCGGCACCAUCUGUUGCGCUUUGGGUUUAAUGCCUUGCGGAAGAACAUUAUAAAUGCUCGUCUCCAGCAAAUGAGAAGAAAUUUGGCUCAUCGGCAGUAUCAAGUAAUGUUGCUGCAGAGCUUCUGGAAUCGCUGGAAGUAUCGGUUAGAACAGGAGGAGGAAGAGCAUCAGCGGUCCCUGACACUAGCAGCUCGCAACCACUACAGGGUAACGCUUCUGCACAAGUCUGUCAGGUUGUGGUUAAGGAAUGCCAAGUGGAGAAGACACAGGCAGACACAAUAUGCCAAAGCUGACAGUCACUAUGGAAGAGUGAUCUUGCCUGUCACCUUCCAGGCCUGGAAGAGGUUUAAGAACUAUCAACGCUGGUGGAGAGAGAUGAAGGAAACGGCAUCAUGCUUUCAUAGGGAAUUGUUGAUGAGACAGGUAUUUGACACGUGGUGGCUGAGUGCAUGUCAGCAUCGAGAGAACCGUACGAGAGAGAGAAUGGCCAUUCUUCACUCUAAGCAGCAGGUGUUGGUUCGUUUCUGGUGCUCCUGGCGCAGGAGAACAGUGGUGUGUUUGGAGGAGCGAGAGCGCACGGCUCUUGCCCAUGAUCAUUACUGCCACCUACUGCUGCAGAAGACUUUCCAUUUCUGGAAGAAGAACAUUCAGGAGAUUAGAUCAGAGAGGAUAAAGAAGGUGAAAGCUCUUAGGUUUCACUAUUCAACGUGCCUGAAGUGGUCUUGGAGCAAGUGGAGAAAGUAUGUGGGACAUCGGUCUAAGAAGUGGAAGACAUUGGUGCGAGCAGACAUGUAUUAUCAGCAUUCACUGCUGGCCAGGGUUUUGGCUGCCUGGAAGAGUUACCAGCAAAACAUACAGUGCAUUUUACGCCAAGUCGAUGAAAAGGAUGAGGAGCGUAAUAGGGCGCUGUUGCGACAGAUGCUGAGUAUCUGGAGAGAAAAUACUGUUGCCCUUGUGGGUGAGGCUAAGAAAGCUGUACAGGCAGAACUGCACUACAGGAGAUCAACUCUCUCAAAGGUGCUACUCCAGUGGAGGGACACUACCUGUCUGCGGGUGCACUGCCGUCAGCAGGAGGCAGCGGCUCUGAGGCAGGCCAGGAGGUGUUUGGAUAUGGUGCAUUUAAGGGCCACGUUUCUUCACUGGAAGGAAUUCACCACGAGGUCCUUGGUGCUGAGAGUCCAGCUAGACACUGCAGCUCAGCACCACCAGAGGCAACUGCUGCAAGAGUGCCUGGCAAAGUGGAAGCAGUAUCAUCUGCAGUGCAUAGGAAAGAUGCUCCUGCAGAGACGGGGAGACCAGCUGAUGACUCAGAGACUCUGCUCUACCUGCUUUUCCUGCUGGAAGAGACAACUGGCGCAGAAGCAAUGGGAACGGCAGGAGACAGUGCGGGCACUGUGGCAUUGGUCACUCUCACUGCAGGGGAAGGUGUUUGAUGCCUGGCUGGGGUUUGCCCUGGAGCGGCAGCGGAAGAAGGGCCGCAUUGAAAAAGCUGUAGCGGUUUACCGUGCUGCCCUGUUGAAGGAGGGUGUGACCCAGAUCCUGACAUAUAUGGCUGGCAUGAAACAGUUACGGGGGCAGCUUCAAGCCCAGCACCAGCUGAAGGCAGCCUACAGCCUUCACCAGACAGUGUAUCGUUGUGCCAUGCUGUGGAAACGAAAGGCUCUCUGCAGGAACCUGGACAAGCCUCACUCUUCUUUGCCUUCUCUGAAGAAGAGGGUGACAUUUAAGAUGCCCAUGCCUGAUGCCAACCCUGGGGCAGGAGGAGACGCAGCAAAGGUAGUGACUCCAUGCUCUAUGCUGCAGCCCAUGAAGAGCGACAAUUUGCCAUUCCUUCUUGCUGCUGAGGAUUUGGUUCUUAGUGAGCUAAACGCAGUCCGCCAGGCAAGACUACAGCCCCGUAGACCUGACUUCCUGCUGCAGUCUCUGGAGAGAGAGGGCUUGUUGGGGAUACCUUUCAAUGAACUGGAGGGACCAGAGGUGCCUUUGCCGCAAACAUCCAUGAACAAACAUCCUGCUCAGGCUGGGGCCUCACUUGCCUCAACUCAUACAGAGCGAAGCAGCUGCAAUCAGCUGUUCCAGAUGGGUAGCACUAGUUACUCCUCAUGCUCCCUUACUGUGCCUACUCCUCUAACCUGUGUACCAUCUUGGACACAUGGCACAUGCCAUCCUGCUCAGACUAGUCCAAAGCCAGUGCUGUUGCCUCCCUCGUCCUUCAUGUCACGUUUGAGAUGUGAAUCAGAAAAGAAUAAGGGUCAGCCCUUGAAGGGUCACCUGGAAACUUUUCUCCAAGACCCUCAACAGGCCACUGUGGGGAAGGAGAGGAAGCAGCCAAACUCGCAGGCACAUCUGCUGCAGCCCGAAGUUGCCACAGGAAAAGAGAACAGGCCAAAAACUGCAGUUAAGCACACAAGUGGGAUAGAUCUUUCAGGCUCCAGUUAUUAUAACAGAGGCAGCACAUCACAUGAUAGCAAUGAGAACCCACAGGCAUGGCACAGUGCUGAAAGUCAGAGGAGGCAAGGCUAUUCCAUGGAGAGAACAGAGCUGCAGAAACAGCUGGAAGCAGAGCUCCAACACAUCCAACAGCAAAUGCAGCAUUACUACGAUAGCAAGCAGGAGCUCAAGUCAUGCCGGCGGCAGGCGCGCAUUCUGCACAAGUGGCUAGAAAUGAGUACCGGGGCAGUGGAGCAAGAUGUUGCGCAGCAAAUUCAAGAAGAGCUGGAUCAGUUGGAGGUGCAGAUCAAAGCUCUCACUAAAGUGCUGCUAGAAGGGAGACAUUGUCUGCAGAGCUACAUCACCCGCGUGGAGGACAUUCGCACUGCUUUGGAUAUGUAACAAGUCUAAAACCUUGGAAUGGUUGUUCAAGCUCAGUGGUAGGAUGGGCUGGCUGUUCGAUCUUUGAUUAUGUGCUUUGAUGUCAAAGAGGACAUACACCUAAUGUAAUUAAAAAAAUGAAUUUCCAUCUGCUGGACUAAGGAGCAUGACUGCGAAGGAGAGGGCAAAACUCCAUAACCAAUUCAAAUCAAGUAUUUCCCAUUUAGCAGCCUUCCCCUCCUCAUUCCAUGAAAACAUACAAUGGAGCGUAAGCCAACAAAGAAGGUACCUGAAAGGCAGUGGGAAAACCUGACAGUAUGCUGUGUGUGUACCUGCUCACCUGGAAUCCUGUUUACACGUUUGAAAUUCUUUGUGCAAUUCCCCCCUACACAAAUAAAUCCUUCAGUACUAGUCUUGUCUAAAGCUAAAUCUAUGCUUGCAGCUCAGAACUUAACAGCAAUCCCAAAAAACCCAAGCCAGGGUAUUAACACAAUGGAAUAAAAACAGUCGGGUAAGGAAAUAUUCCAAUUUCACACUUCCAAUGAACAAUGAAAAAAAAAUUUUUUUUAACUAUGAAAAAUACCUUAGGGUCCUUUUAAAUAAGACUACUCCCCAGAAACUUACAAGUCCCAUGUAUGGUACGUAAAGCCACAAAAUAUUUUACUAACCUAUUCUAAAUAAGCUCAAGCAGGUUGGGAAAGGGAAGGAUGGAGGACAGAUCACAGAUAGAUUCCUCACAAACUGUUACAGUCCAAACUGUUCACAUCUGGACUCUUCGGACCAAAUCCAAUUUGGGUCCCAAGUAAAGGUCAGUUUAGGAAUUUCAGUCUAGUCCCUAAUAUACAUAUGUCCAAAACACAACUGACCAAGCACUCAGAAAUGGAAGAGGAACAGAAGGAUGCUACAGGUGAGACUGAGGCAGGGGAGCAUGUCCUGCACUGGCACCAGACCCUCAUUUUCAGAAAUGCCAAAUUUACUCAAAAACAGAAAACGGGGUGGGGUGAAUAAAGUAGUUUGUAACUAGCUGCCUGUAUGUUCUGCAGCAAAAGAAACCUAACAUAUAUAUUAUGAACUGUUUGGUCAAUGUGGAACUGUAUAUUGUAUUUAAUGUUCUGUAAUCAUCUGUUCAUUAAACAGGGUUGUGUAUUUUUUUUUAAAUGGGUCAUUUAGGGUACUACAGAACACGUCCAUACACCUGAUAUUCAUACUUCAGCUUCACAACAACUUAAAGACAAAGUGACAACACUAAAGAUCUACAAUCACUAGAGUAGAGAAGGAAUCACCUUUGAAGGGACAAGCUCUUCUUAAUGGUGUGGAUGAGCUAGAAUCAUUAGAGAUUAAGAUGAUAUUCUUCUGCAGGAAAUAGUUCUCAGCAGAUGUUCACAAGGGAUCUAGAUAAGAAUUGCCUUCAUACUAAUUCUGAAUAGUAGUCAUAUUUGCAUGGUACACUCCCUAUCCAAGAAUCUCAAAGCUUUUCACAAAUAUUAAUUUAGCCUCAACUUUCUUGUGAGACAAACAAGAAUUACCCAUGCUUUCACAGGGGAAGAAAUGAACGCAUAGAGAGAAUGUGUGACUUGCCAAAGAUCAUGCUACAACUCAGUGGCAGAAGUGAGAACACAACAAGUAAUUCCUGAUUCCCACUCCUUUGUUUACGAAUUAGACAGAGCAAUCUCCUUCACAUGCUGUAGACACAUUUGUUAUCCAGUAGGAUAAUAAACUCAUCACAAAAUAUUUUUCAAUGCUUUUAUAUGUAACUGCAGAAGGCCACUACUGUAACAUAUAUAACAAGGGUCGGCAACCUUUCAGAAGUGGUGUGCCAAGUUUUCAUUUAUUCACUCUAAUUUAAGG